GUUUCAUGUUGGCCAGGCUGGUCUCAAACUCCUGACCUCAGAUGAUCCACCCGUAUGGGUCUCCCAAAGUGCUAGGAUUACAGGCAUGAGCUGCGGUACCUGGCCUCAACUGAACUUUAAUAAUUGGACUCUAAAUGAAAUUGGAACUCACUCAUUAUGUGAUUAAUGUACCAGGUCUGUUGAGUGUAUCCCCUGUGAGAUUUGUUCUCAUUAUUUUCCCCCUUUUUAAGAAUUGUGAAAAAGAAAGACCUCUUUGUAUGUCAAUAAACUGUGUGAUUCAUGAAAUCAUACUUUGAUCUUCUCCUUAUCUUAACCAUCCAAAAUAGAUUCAUUCCCCAAAUAAACUACUUGUACACAGGUCGUUGCUCAGGCUCUGCUGUUUGGGGGAUCCCAGGUUAAGCCAAUGGUAACCCAAAAGAGGCAUCUCAGCUUACCUUUCCCAACCCUGCUAAGGAGGAAUUGAUUGGUUUGGUUUGUGCUUUUUCUCCUUUAUUUCCCAAAUGCCCUGCCCUUUUUAGGGCACCAUGAGUAAACUCUGACAUAGAAAGUAGUAAGAGACUCCCAGGACAAAGGGCCAGCUGAAGGGUUGAGACUGGGUUAAGGGGUCAGACAAAGCAUUCUCAGCCCCAACUUAAACUUUCCCCUUGUUCUAUCAUUCUGGUUGUUGACUUUGGAACUGGAGAAACGUUCAGCUGUGAGGCUGAACACACAGUCUGUGGAAAUCAGGAUGCUCCCUACACAGCACAUACCAAGAUUCUGCCACCCUCACUCUACUUUAAAGCAGUUCCUCUCUGUUCAGGUACCAGGUCUCAGGCCAGGGUCCUCAGCAUUUAGCACACUCCCCUCAACCCAGGAGGGUAUGGUUGCAAAUUACCAAGCUAGUUUUGGGAGGGAAACAGUCCUUAGAGCCUGCCUUCAAGGAGAGUGCGAAAGGAAAGUAUCUUGGACCCCCAAAAUCACUAAGCUAAAGGGCAAAGUCAAACUGGGAACUGCUUAGGGCAAACUGCCUCCCAUUCCAUUCAGUCACCCCUCUGCUCACUGAGAGGGCCAAACCAAUGUUCAUUUUACAUACGUUGAUGGAUGGCUCCUGUCUCCCUAAAAUGCAUGAAACCAAGCUGUGUUCUGACCACCUUGGGCACAUAUUGUCAGGACCUCUUGAGGCUACGUCACGGGUGUGCAUCCUCAACCUUGGCAAAAUAAACUUUCUAAAUUAACUGAGAACUGUCUCAGAUUUUGGGAGUUCACAUUUUGGUAACUGUGGAGGGAUUCUGAGUGGAGAUGCCCCUGACCUUUGAUAAAAUCUACCGGUGCUUAGUACCAGCAUGAGCUAACCUUAUGGCUCAAACCAAUAGGAUGACUUGCUGAGGUCUGGGAACACCCUUUCCAGAGAAACCCUGAUCUCUGGUCAAGACCUAGAGUUUAUUUUGCUGUACAACUCCCCCCUACUACCAACCUUCUUUCUGAAUUUGCUUCCAACAUGGAAGGCAAGAUUUCCUGUUUCCAUUACAUAGAAGGAAGAUGACUCCUUUAGGGAGUCUGAGCUCACUCCCAGCAAGGAAGAUGAAUUCGAGUUUUUCCUGCUUCUAGGAUGGCAAAAGGCAGUCUUCAGCCUGAGACCCAUCUCUAGAAACAAGAAAACAACUGUUAACCUAUCUACAGCUUUUAACAAUUGAGUGAAGUAUACUUCUAUGAACAAAAUUUUGAGCAUAUUUGUUUCUCUCUACCUGAUUUCUCCAGGAUUUGGGAACUAUUUGCUCAUAGGUAGAAGGGACUGCCUUGUCUCAGAUAAGACUUUGUACUAUGGACUUUGGAGUUAAUGCUGAAGCCUUCUCCCUAUACUCAGUUACAGCAACGAACUCCCUUCUUUCCCAGUUUAUCUGCAUCUCAUUACUGGGCUGCAAGAAUAAGCAACCUAACCUUCGGUUUGGUCCAGGAACAAGUUGAGGUAUGCCUGCCUACAGUGACAGCUAUGCAGGAGACUGAGACAGGAGGAUUCCUUGAGCCCAGGAGUUUGAGGCUGCAGUGAGGUAUGAUUGCAGCACUACACUCCAGCCUGGACAAAAUAGCAAGUCCCCAUUUCUAAAUAAAUAAAUAAACAAAUAAACAAUUUUGAAAGACAAAAGUAUAUAAUGAGAUUCUCAACUCCUAAAACUGAUUGGAUUUUCUGAACUUCAAAUUCUGUUUUUUUCAAUGAAUAUCUAAUUUAUUACAAUAAGCUGUUUUAAAAAACAAGAUACAAAACCACAUGCUUAUUUUGCCUAACUCUUUUUCCAGUUCUUUUCCCAAUGAAUAUAUAUUAUUUUUACUUCUGCCUAUUGCUACCAGGGACAGAGCCUGCUCUUUCAAGUAGAAAAUCUAAUUGCAAAGCUGUUGCCUCUCUGUUCGGGUUAACAGUGCCUUUUCCAAAGGCUUAUUCACUCCUCCCCAGCCUCCUCCCUCUCUACCAGGCCUUACCCAUGGCUCGAAUUUUCUUCUCACUGACAGCCCUCACAUUCAAGUUCAACUUUCUCUCACCU